GUGUGUUAUCUCACUCUAUAUAUCCUUACUUUGGAAGUAUUUCAUGAUGAUAAUAGACAAAGCUAAUGGGUUUGGUGUGAAGAGUGUCUGUUCGUAGGAAAACAUGGUCUGUUCAUCAGUCUAGCUUAACAGCUAACUAAAUAAACCGAGUAUAACUCAGUGGCUCAUAGAGCUUUAUAUUACUGUAGAGAUUUAUGUUACCAGAGGGGUAUAAAAAGUAUUAAUGAAUUAACAGAAGAUCUUUUAUAUUUCAUUUAUUUAUUUCAUUUCUUAGCAGACCGUUUUUUACUGUAAAUGUGAAUAGUUUUCCACUUCUUACUUGUUCAUGGUUUUCUUGACAAAGAAUAGCUACUUUUCUUACAAAUUUUCCAAUUUUGAAGUUUAACCAAUAAUAGUUUCAGUGACUUCAUUACAUUAACACCUAACUGAUACAUAAACUUCAGAGGAGUUUGCCUUAAUCAGUAUGUUCAUUGCUUUUUAAAUUUUUUCUCUUCCACAAAGAUAGGAAUUCAAUGCACUUGUUUGUUUAUUUAUCUGUUUAGUUUUUCUGGGCUGCACACAUCUUAAUUUCUUGAUAGGCCAGUUGUAAUGUGUGAUUAAGGACUAUAUUCUUCAAACAUUGCAUUUGAAGCAAUGGGCAGGUGUGGGAUUUGGAAGCAGUAUGAAAGUAACAUCAUUUGUUUUUGCGGACUUUGUAAUUUUCUUCUGGAAAUCCCAGAUUAUCCAAAGAGAGAAGAUAGAAUCAUCAUAAAUCCCAGUAGCAGUCUGCUGGCCAGCCAGGAUGAGACAAAGUUGCCUAAAAUAGACUUUUUUGACUAUUCUAAAUUGACUCCUCUUGACCAGCGCUGCUUCAUCCAAGCUGCUGACCUCCUCAUAGCAGACUUCAAAAUGCUCAGUAGUCAGGAUAUCAAGUGGGCCCUGCACGAGCUCAAAGGACACUAUGCAAUCACCCGAAAGGCCUUUUCUGAUGCCAUGAAAAAAUGUCAGGAGCUAUCACCAGAAAGCGGUGGAAAAAGGAAGAAGAGAAAAGAAAUGAACCAGUAUUCUUACAUCGAUUUCAAGUUUGAACAAGGUGACAUAAAAAUAGAAAAGAGGAUCUUCUGUUUUGAAAAUAAGCGACGACAUUGUAGGUCCUAUGACCGGCGUGCUCUCCUUCCAGCUGUGCAACAAGAGCAGGAGUUCUAUGAGCAGAAAAUCAAAGAGAUGGCAGAGGUAGGAAGAUGUGCUCUGGUCUUGGGGUAUGUUUCCGGGAUUCUGGUUUGCUGUUAG
rnacentral:lncRNA from 10 species